rnacentral:rRNA from 1 species
UACGUAGGGUGCAAGCGUUAAUCGGAAUUACUGGGCGUAAAGCGUGCGCAGGCGGUUUUGUAAGUCUGACGUGAAAGCCCCGGGCUUAACCUGGGAAUUGCGAUGAAGACUGCAAGGCUAGAAUCUGGCAGAGGGGGGUAGAAUUCCACGUGUAGCAGUGAAAUGCGUAGAGAUGUGGAGGAACACCGAUGGCGAAGGCAGCCCCCUGGGUCAAGAUUGACGCUCAUGCACGAAAGCGUGGGGAGCAAACAGG